GACGAACGCUGGCGGCGUGCUUAACACAUGCAAGUCGAACGGAAAGGCCCUGAUCUUGUGGGGUGCUCGAGUGGCGAACGGGUGAGUAACACGUGAGUAACCUGCCCUUGACUUUGGGAUAACUUCAGGAAACUGGGGCUAAUACCGGAUAGGAGCUCCUGCUGCAUGGUGGGGGUUGGAAAGUUUCGGCGGUUGGGGAUGGACUCGCGGCUUAUCAGCUUGUUGGUGGGGUAGUGGCUUACCAAGGCUUUGACGGGUAGCCGGCAUGAGAGGGUGGACGGGCACAUGAGGACUGAGAGAGGGCCCAGACUCCUAUGGGAGGCAGCAGUGGGGAAUAUUGUCCAAUGGGCGGGAGCCUGAGGCAGAAACGCCGCGUGCGGGAUGACGGCCUUCGGGUUGUAAACCGCUUUCGCCUGUGACGAAGCGUGAGUGACGGUAAUGGGUAAAGAAGCACCGGCUAACUACGUG
rnacentral:rRNA from 1 species